rnacentral:rRNA from 1 species
AACGUAGGAGGCAAGCGUUAUCCGGAUUUACUGGGCGUAAAGCGCGUGCAGGUGGUUUACUAAGUCGUGCGUGAAAGCCCCCUGCUUAACAGGGUGAGUGCGGGCGAGACUGGUAGACUAGAGCUAGAUAGAGGCAAGUGGAAUUCCGGGUGUAGUGGUGAAAUGCGUAGAGAUCCGGAGGAAUACCAGUGGCGAAGGCGGCUUGCUGGGUCUAAGCUGACACUCAGACGCGAAAGCAUGGGGAGCGAACGGG